AGGAGGAGUAUCGUGAAGUAUGAACUUCAGAACUAACAACAAGUGACUUUUCCAUUAAACCCUGCUAUUUUUCCAGAGAAAUCAAUCAGACUGCGAACAGAAUAGCAAUCUGCCAAUGGAACGUAUUGAUUUGACUCGAUCGAGCGAAGCACCAUCUACACAACGACUCGGAUCUGCCUACAGAAAUAUGAGGAUUCGAAGCAGGGCUGAAACCAAGUUUUCUCUUGAAAACGGUAAAUGUGGGCUGUGGUCACUGUUAUAGGAAUGUCUUUGGUAAAAGAGAAGAGAAACAC